UCCAUCUGGAAGCAGAUCUAAGAACCAGUUUAGUGCUUUCUGAGAAGCCCCUGGGAGAAGGAAGAUGCCUGACAAGCAAGCAGGUGUUGCCCCCAGGGAACGACAUUUGCAGGCCAGAUCCCAGGGCACUAGCCUUCACGUCCCCAGCGGCUACUGGCCGGCGGCCUUCUAGCCAGCCUCGGCAGAGAGGCCACGCCCCGAGUAGCCAUGGUGACAGCGCUCGGGGGAGCUGGCGCUGCUGCGGGCCGAGAAAGGUUGUACGGCGCUGAAUACAGAAGGAGAGUCCAGGCCUGGAGCAGGAGGCGGUAGAUGCACCUGCCCUCGCUCUCUGGGGAACUCCAGGAUGGGGAUGGACCAGGCGGGCCCGCGCAGGAAGCCGGCGAUGCUGUCUACCACCCACUCCAAGUCCGCCUCCCCCUCCGCCGCCAUCGGGGCGGGUCCAGGCCGCGGCCGACUGCCAGCGCACAAGCUCCGGGGGAACACAGGAAGACCCGGGUAGAGUUGCGGCGGCGGUUAGGGCUUCGUUAGGUCACUAUCGCAACGGUCGUCACACAGGGAGCGCGCGCUCCGUGGAGCAUUCGAGCCCGUCGCGCGCUUUCUUCCUUGUGUUAAACGGGUGUGAAGCGCGCGGCAGCAGCGUCACUGUGGCACGGUCCAGGUGGGAGAGAGGCACUGAGCGGACAGAACGUUCGGCGGGGCCGCGCCUCAGGGCCAGGAGCGCAUGGGAAGCAGCCAGGCUGGUCUCCGGUUGCGAGGCUACGCGCUGGCGCUGGGGGCGCGCGGGAGCGCAAGGCCCGAGGAGCGGAGGAGUGUUGAACCCGUGGGCCACCCUGGUCCUGGUGCUGCUCCUGGACUGCAAGAACAGCCAUGCGAGGGUGGGUCGCCCUGCUUUAUCCGAAGGUUCUGCCCCUGGAGCUCUGCAGUGGCCGUCGCUUCCCGGGCCCGGGGGAGGUGUUUCCCCCUGUCCUCCCAGGCUCUUCUGCGGCUGGCUUGAACGAUCCCUGAGCGCCUGGCCGAGGGAGCUGCAGCAUGGUAAUUACCCCAGGCAACCCGCAGCACGCCGGUAUAGUACGGCAUGCACCCGUGCACUGUACACAGGGCAGAGGUGAGCCGCAGCGGUCGGCAUUUCUAUGGGGAGAGAUGUCUCUACGUGCUAGCUAGAGGCUAGUGCAAACAUUCCCCGAAUUAUAGAAACAGGCCUGGGCUCCAAAUACUCUGAUGCCCUGUUUACCUCCUCCCAGAGCUCUGAGACCUGUUUGCAUCUUGAUUUCACAAAUGCUGUAGCAGAGUAGCAGAAGUCAGCUGUCCCCAGGUUACCCAUGAGAGUGAUUUUUUUUAAAGAGAGUUUUCUUAUAUUGCUUAUUAGUUUAACCAACAUAACUGCCUGGAUUUUGGAUAUACCCAUUUUUAUGCAUUUGGGAGAAAUUACAAAAGCGGAGAUGGAGAUCAUUGUGGAGAUAAAGGAGGAAGGAAGCACGGAAGACCAGCAUUGAAUAAGGAUUAAUAUAAAUGGCAAGUUAUACUGAAGACAAGCACAAGAACAGGGGAUUAUUACUGCAUCCGCAGACUGAGGAGAGUGGGGAAUCACCGGGUUAACUCCUGGAACCGUUUCUGUGAGACAUUAAGAAGUACGGAAAUAACAUUGCCUAGCCGAGUUAUUGCUAGGUGAAUAUCAGAGAAUUUUUGGACAAUUUUCUCUAAUUUGGAUAUUCAAAGGGGUAUUGGCAGGUGUACCUGAAGCUUAACAGAGUCAAGUGCACCGUGAAUUUAUGUAGAAUUGAUAACAGUGCCUAACUGGAAAUGAUAACAGUAAGACCGAUUGAUGCAAGCUAUACUUUCAGCUGGCCGAAAUACGACCGACUGACUGCAUAUGGAGCAGAUGGUGGAUAAUAAUAAGAAUGAUGUUUCAGUGAAUUUUGGGGGGAUACCUACACACCUAUUUUCUAUCCGUGCUUUCUCAGAAUAUGUGUUAUUGAUUAAGGAUUUCUUAAGGUGGAGCCAUCCCUCGCGCAUCAUACACCUCACCUGAGUGGUACAGUGUCUUCUAACACUCAUGGGGCCAUAAAUGGCUCCAAAUAAAGGCCCUUUCCUAUAAGCUUUUUCCUAAGUAGAAGCAUUUUUUCAAGGAUUUGACUUAUUAACAACAAUAGACAAGACCAGUUUAAUACUUUGGAAAAGAAGAGUUUGUCCAUGAAGGCUAUCCUGGAGCGCCUGGUUUUGAAGGACGUCUUUCUCCCAUUGCUGGCGAUUUAUUUUGUUUUGCUGUUGGACUACUGCUUGAAGAUUGCAUUGGUUUUGAUUAAAGUUUUUAUUGCGUACGGUGUAAA